rnacentral:rRNA from 1 species
UACGAAGGGGGCUAGCGUUGCUCGGAAUUACUGGGCGUAAAGCGCACGUAGGCGGAUUUUUAAGUCAGGGGUGAAAUCCCGGAGCUCAACUCCGGAACUGCCUUUGAUACUGGAAAUCUUGAGUUCGGGAGAGGUGAGUGGAACCGCGAGUGUAGAGGUGAAAUUCGUAGAUAUUCGCAAGAACACCAGUGGCGAAGGCGGCUCACUGGCCCGAUACUGACGCUGAGGUGCGAAAGCGUGGGGAGCAAACAGG